GGGUGGCUGGUUUCACAAAACUGCCGUGGUAGCUUCUCUCUGGCCCUGGAGCUGUCGGCCAAUCGAAUGCAUGGUGUUUUCCAAUAUUUGGCCUGUGGACAAAGGACAUAUUUCCACAACCAACGUAGCUAGAGAGAGCACAAACAGGGGGAGCUGCAGGCAGAGGGAGAGGAAGAAGCAGGCUCCCCGCGGAGCAGGUAGCUCAACAUGACACGGGGCUGGAUCCCAGAACCCCGGGAUCAUGACCUGAGCCGAAGGCAGACGCUUAAUGGACUGAGCCACCCAGGGGCUGCUCCAGGGUCUCAAGCCUGCUCCGAGGUCAGCGGUGUUGCCACUUUUCCUUCUGCCCCGAAGUACCACUGCCUGCCACUGUCUUGUCUGGGCUCCCUGGCUUGGAACAGCCUCUUCUUCAGCUUCCAGA